UGUAAAGGAUAGCAGGCAGGGGUCUGCAAAAAGACAGGUGGUGAAGGAGGAAAGAGCCCCUUCAGGAGAAGGAGGAUGCCGUUGUGUGUAUAGUGGAUCUUUCUCUUUCUUCUAACCACCCUUGGCUGUACCAUCUGCAGGAAGAUCAAAGACAGGGUCAUAUCCAUCUAAUAACAGGAGAGGAAACAAUGCUGCAGAGGCAUUGGCCCAUCUUAACCUGUAGCAGAAAUACCCAGGAAGCAAGCACCCUAGAUUACAGAGGAAUGCCAGGUUUUGUCUCUGGCCGGCACAAUGGAAGAGAAGAAUAGAGAACUUGAUUGCAUGACAGCAGUCUGAGAAAGCAAUAUAAAGAACACCAACUUCAGUCUGGAGUAAAUUUUUAGUGUAAAUGAGUGUGAAAUUGGACUUUCAAAAGAGAAGAACUACCAGGCACAUUGAAAAGUGACCCCCUGGGAUGUCUGAAUAAGGAGAAUGGGGGAAGAAAGUCUGAAGGACCUGAGGGACAUCACACCAAUUUUACACAGAUAUUGUGAGAAGUAACAAGACAAUGAUUACAAAGUGUUUUGUACAUUAGA